rnacentral:rRNA from 1 species
GGUAACGGCGUGGCAGGAGCAGCGGGAAUACGAAGGUGGCAGGGGUUGGUCGGAUGUACUGGGCGUACAGGGAGCGUAGGCGGUUGGGUAAGCCGUCCGUGAAAGCUCCAGGCUGAACCUGGAAAGUGCAGAGGGGACUGCUCGGCUUGAGGAUGGGAGAGGAGCGCGGAAUUCCCGGUGUAGCGGUGAAAUGCGUAGAGAUCGGGAGGAAGGCCGGUGGCGAAGGCGGCGCUCUGGAACAUUUCUGACGCUGAGGCUCGAAAGCGUGGGGAGCAAACAGGAUUAGAUACCCUAGUAGUC